rnacentral:rRNA from 1 species
GACGGAGGAUGCAAGUGUUAUCCGGAAUCACUGGGCGUAAAGCGUCUGUAGGUGGUUUAAUAAGUCAACUGUUAAAUCCUGAGGCUCAACCUCAAAAUCGCAGUCGAAACUAUUAGGCUAGAGUAUAGUAGGGGUAAAGGGAAUUUCCAGUGGAGCGGUGAAAUGCGUAGAGAUUGGAAAGAACACCGAUGGCGAAGGCGGCGUUCUGGACUGCAACUGACACUGAACGACGAAAGCCAGGGGAGCAAACGGG